rnacentral:rRNA from 2 species
GGAUAGUUCCUUGAACCGCAUGGUUCAAGGAUGAAAGACGGUUUCGGCUGUCACUUACAGAUGGACCCGCGGCGCAUUAGCUAGUUGGUGGGGUAAUGGCUCACCAAGGCGACGAUGCGUAGCCGACCUGAGAGGGUGAUCGGCCACACUGGGACUGAGACACGGCCCAGACUCCUACGGGAGGCAGCAGUAGGGAAUCUUCCGCAAUGGACGAAAGUCUGACGGAGCAACGCCGCGUGAGUGAUGAAGGUUUUCGGAUCGUAAAGCUCUGUUGUUAGGGAAGAACAAGUGCGAGAGUAACUGCUCGCACCUUGACGGUACCUAACCAGAAAGCCACGGCUAACUACGUGCCAGCAGCCGCGGUAAUACGUAGGUGGCAAGCGUUGUCCGGAAUUAUUGGGCGUAAAG